AGGAAAUUUCUGGUGGCCCUUCGCGGCUCCGCUGGGUUGGCAGCCUCUUGAGCCACUGCAAGGAAAGCAAAGUCUGGGCCAUGGAGAUGAGCCUAGUCCUACUGUUCCUGACCCGCACUGCCCUUUUUGCACCCCAGGGAGCUGCUGCUGAGCCCCACAGUCUUUGUUACAACCUCACGGUGCUAUCCCGGGAUGGAUCUGUGCAGUCAGGGUUUCUCGCUGAGGGACAUCUAGAUGGUCAGCUCUUCCUACUCUGUGACAGGCAGAAAGGCAGGGCAGGGCCCUGGGGACAGUGGGCAGAAGCAGUCCUGGGAGCUGAGACCUGGGACACAGAGACUGAAGACUUGACAGAGAAUGGGCAGGAGCUCAGGAGGACCCUGGCUCAUAUCAAGGGCCAGAAAGGAGCCUUGCAUUCCCUCCAGGAGAUUAGGGUUUGUGAGAUCAGGAAGCCAGCAGCACCAGGGGCUUUAGGCAUUUCUACACAUAUGGGAAGCUCUUCCUCUCUCCCAACCUGGAGACUCAGUAAUGGACAGUGCCCUGGUCCUCCAGAGCUCAGACCUUGGCUAUGAACGUCACAAAUUUCUGGGAGGAAGAUGCCAUGCAGACCAAGACACACUAUUGCCCUGUGCAGGCAGACUACAUGCAAAAGCUAUGGUGAUAUCUGAAAUCUGGCUCUGCCCUUUUGUCUCCAAUGACUCCCUCAGUGAAUGAGAUGCACAGUGGGGCCUUAGAAGGCAAUGUCACCAUGAUGUGCUGGGCUCCAGCUUCUAUCCCCGGAAUAUCUCUCUGACCUGGCAUCAGGAUGAGGCAUCUUUGAGCCAGGAUGCCCAGCAGUCUAGGGGUGUCCUGCCCAAUGGGAAUGGGACCUACCAGACCUGCGUGGCCACCAGGAUUCCCUGAGGAGAGGAGCAGAGGUUCACCUGCUACAUGGGACACAGAGGGAAUCACAGCACUCACCCUGUGCCCUCUGAGAAGGCCCUGGUGCUUCAGAGUCAAUGGCAGCCAUUCUGUAUGCUGCUGUUGCUGCUGUCAUUAUUAUUAGUAUUAUUAUUAGUAGUAGUAUUCUCUGUGUCCUUUGGUGCAAGAAGAAGACAACAUCAGCUGCAGAGAGUCCAGAGCACGUGAGCCUGCAAGGCCUGGAUCAACACCUGGUUGGGACAGGAGACCACCAGGGCAGUGCACAGCUGGGAUUUCAGCCUCUGGUGUCAACUCCUGGGUCUACUGGCUCCACUGAGGGCAGCUACACUCUGCAGCCAGAUGGCCAGAAUUCAACUCCCUGCCCAGGUCUCACCAGCACUUUCCCACUUGGUGCCUCAGGUUCCUCAUCUAUGAAAUGUGGAAACUAACAGCAUUUAUUUCUUGUGGUUGGGUGGAUGGAAAGUGUUAGUAUAUAUGAGGUGUUUGCAGCUGUGCCACAUUAUUUUUGUUAUUUUGUUAUCAUUUUAUUAUAUUUUAAUAUAUUACAUGUGCAGUAAUUGUAUUAUUAUUAUAAAUGAGCUUUAUGAGUGAGUGUCCUGGUUACGGCUCUUUCUGAGGAGACUGGGACCAGCUUUCCCCUCACCCUGUCACACUGUCAUGCAUUACCCCAUAUCUACUCUGUCUUCAUAAUUUUAUACUAUAGAAAUUUGCCCUUUAAGUAGACAUUUCUGGUCUGUGUUUUAUUUCAAGUGUCUGGGAAGGGAUAGAGUGUGAGGUUCAAGAGAGAAGGAGAGGUCUGUCUUGAUGCCUUGACACAGCACAAAGAAAUCUCCCCACCUCCCCCACAUCUCCCCACCAGUUCUCGGUGAUGGAUAGAUUCACAGCAACACCGAAAGGGCUGGGAAGGGAUGGAGGGGGACAUCUGCAGCCAGUGUUUAGGGGCUGACCCUGUGGGAGGACACUUGCCUUGCAGAGGGCCUCUGCAUCUUGCAGAUGCAGAGCUGAAGUCUGAUAUGAGGGAGAGGACAGAGAGUGCUUUGAACUUUCCUGAUUAAGAAGAAUAGAGAUCAGUCUGCUUCUGGGGUUAAGUGACCACUGGGGAGAUUGGACUGAAUUAAUGAAGAAUAAAUGAACUGGGAAUGAGGAUGAGUAAAGAAAGCAUCAGCAUCUCCCACUAUCAGUUCAGACUGCUUGGGAGGUGGGGAGGUGGGAUAGUUCCUGACCCUGUUGUGAGGUUCCUUUUAACUUUCUGGCCUUGGGGCACAGAUGGGUGGUCCUCUUCUUGGUCAGGGCAGCCUCAGCUCCACUCAGGUAAGGCAGUGGUGGCAGGGAGAGUUAGGGGAGCACCUGUGAAAUGGACCAAGGCAGGGAUGGGAGCCCUCUGUGCAGCAAGAGUAGAUGCAAGGCCUGCCUGGAAGCAAGAGGAUGAAGGAACCUGGUUGGGUCCUGGUCCGUUGCCUGCCUGUGUUCACAGGUCAACCAGUAAAGGAGCUAGGGUAGAGAAUUCAAUCGUGGGCUAUCUAUCCAGAGAUGUGUUUACAGGUGUAUUCUUUCACAUUUGUAUUCAGGUUUGGUGUCAACAACACAUUUAUACAUGCCUGUUUGAUGUUUAAGUAUUUUCACAUUUUAGUUAACCCUUAAAUAUCGUUGUUGACUGCAGUUGUCAUUAGACAUAAACUUGCAUAUUCAUUGAAGCUUUUGUUUUUAUUUUA